AGAGUUUGAUCCUGGCUCAGGAUGAACGCUGGCGGCGUGCCUAAUACAUGCAAGUCGAACGAAACUUCUUUAUCACCGAGUGCUUGCGCUCACCGAUAAAGAGUUGAGUGGCGAACGGGUGAGUAACACGUGGGCAACCUGCCCAAAAGAGGGGGAUAACACUUGGAAACAGGUGCUAAUACCGCAUAACCAUAGUUACCGCAUGGUAACUAUGUAAAAGGUGGCUAUGCUACCGCUUUUGGAUGGGCCCGCGGCGCAUUAGCUAGUUGGUGGGGUAAAGGCUUACCAAGGCAAUGAUGCGUAGCCGAACUGAGAGGUUGAUCGGCCACAUUGGGACUGAGACACGGCCCAAACUCCUACGGGAGGCAGCAGUAGGGAAUCUUCCACAAUGGGCGAAAGCCUGAUGGAGCAACGCCGCGUGGGUGAAGAAGGUCUUCGGAUCGUAAAACCCUGUUGUUAGAGAAGAAAGUGCGUGAGAGUAACUGUUCACGUUUCGACGGUAUCUAACCAGAAAGCCACGGCUAACUACGUGCCAGCAGCCGCGGUAAUACGUAGGUGGCAAGCGUUAUCCGGAUUUAUUGGGCGUAAAGGGAACGCAGGCGGUCUUUUAAGUCUGAUGUGAAAGCCUUCGGCUUAACCGGAGUAGUGCAUUGGAAACUGGGAGACUUGAGUGCAGAAGAGGAGAGUGGAACUCCAUGUGUAGCGGUGAAAUGCGUAGAUAUAUGGAAGAACACCAGUGGCGAAAGCGGCUCUCUGGUCUGUAACUGACGCUGAGGUUCGAAAGCGUGGGUAGCAAACAGGAUUAGAUACCCUGGUAGUCCACGCCGUAAACGAUGAAUGCUAAGUGUUGGAGGGGUUCCCGCCCUUCAGUGC
rnacentral:rRNA from 1 species